rnacentral:misc_RNA from 1 species
UCAAACUUGGUCAUUUAGAGGAAGUAAAAGUCGUAACAAGGUCUCCGUUGGUGAACCAGCGGAGGGAUCAUUACCGAGUUUGACAAACUCCCAAACCCCUGUGAACAUACCUAUCUUGUUGCCUCGGCGAUCAGCCCGCCCCGGCGGGCCCGCCAGAGGACCCCUAUAAACCCUCUGAAACCUGAAAAGUUAUUCUGAGUCUUGAAAAAGAAAUAAAUCAAAACCUUCAACAACGGAUCUCUUGGUUCUGGCAUCGAUGAAGAACGCAGC